UACGUAGGGUCCGAGCGUUGUCCGGAAUUAUUGGGCGUAAAGGGCUCGUAGGCGGUUCGUCACGUCGGGAGUGAAAACUCGGGGCUUAACCCCGAGCCUGCUUCCGAUACGGGCAGACUAGAGGUAGGCAGGGGAGAGCGGAACUCCUGGUGUAGCGGUGGAAUGCGCAGAUAUCAGGAAGAACACCGGUGGCGAAGGCGGCUCUCUGGGCCUUACCUGACGCUGAGGAGCGAAGGCGUGGGGAGCGAACGGG
rnacentral:rRNA from 1 species